GUAACGGCGAGUGAAGCGGCAAAAGCUCAAAUUUGAAAUCUGGUACCUUCGGUGCCCGAGUUGUAAUUUGGAGAGGGCAACUUUGGGGCCGUUCCUUGUCUAUGUUCCUUGGAACAGGACGUCAUAGAGGGUGAGAAUCCCGUGUGGCGAGGAGUGCGGUUCUUUGUAAAGUGCCUUCGAAGAGUCGAGUUGUUUGGGAAUGCAGCUCUAAGUGGGUGGUAAAUUCCAUCUAAAGCUAAAUAUUGGCGAGAGACCGAUAGCGAACAAGUACAGUGAUGGAAAGAUGAAAAGAACUUUGAAAAGAGAGUGAAAAAGUACGUGAAAUUGUUGAAAGGGAAGGGCAUUUGAUCAGACAUGGUGUUUUGUGCCCUCUGCUCCUUGUGGGUAGGGGAAUCUCGCAUUUCACUGGGCCAGCAUCAGUUUUGGUGGCAGGAUAAAUCCAUAGGAAUGUAGCUUGCCUCGGUAAGUAUUAUAGCCUGUGGGAAUACUGCCAGCUGGGACUGAGGACUGCGACGUAAGUCAAGGAUGCUGGCAUAAUGGUUAUAUGCCGCCCGUCUUGAA
rnacentral:rRNA from 1 species